rnacentral:rRNA from 1 species
GACGAACGCUGGCGGCGUGCCUAAUACAUGCAAGUCGAACGCUUUUUCUUUCACCGGAGCUUGCUCCACCGAAAGAAAAAGAGUGGCGAACGGGUGAGUAACACGUGGGUAACCUGCCCAUCAGAAGGGGAUAACACUUGGAAACAGGUGCUAAUACCGUAUAACACUAUUUUCCGCAUGGAAGAAAGUUGAAAGGCGCUUUUGCGUCACUGAUGGAUGGACCCGCGGUGCAUUAGCUAGUUGGUGAGGUAACGGCUCACCAAGGCAACGAUGCAUAGCCGACCUGAGAGGGUGAUCGGCCACACUGGGACUGCGACCCGGCCCAGGCUCCUACGGGAGGCAGCAGUAGGGAAUCUUCGGCAAUGGACGAAAGUCUGACCGAGCAACGCCGCGUGAGUGAAGAAGGUUUUCGGAUCGUAAAACUCUGUUGUUAGAGAAGAACAAGGAUGAGAGUAAAACGUUCAUCCCUUGACGGUAUCUAACCAGAAAGCCACGGCUAACUACGUGCCAGCAGCCGCCGUAA